rnacentral:rRNA from 1 species
UAGGGAAUAUUGGACAAUGGGUGAGAGCCUGAUCCAGCCAUGCCGCGUGCAGGAAGAAGGCGUUAUGCGUUGUAAACUGCUUUUGCCAGGGGAUAAAACGGUUCUGCGGAACUAAUUGAAGGUACCUGGUGAAUAAGCCACGGCUAACUACGUGCCAGCAGCCGCGGUAAUACGUAGGUGGCAAGCGUUGUCCGGAUUUAUUGGGUUUAAAGGGUGCGUAGGCGGCCCUGUAAGUCAGUGCUGAAAUAUCCCGGCUUAACCGGGAGGGUGGCAUUGAUACUGCAGGGCUUGAGUACAGAUGAGGUAGGCGGAAUUGACGGUGUAGCGGUGAAAUGCAUAGAUAUCGUCAAGAACACCGAUAGCGAAGGCAGCUUACCAAGCUGUAACUGACGCUGAGGCACGAAAGUGUGGGGAUCAAACAGG